AGAGUUUGAUCCUGGCUCANAACGAACGCUGGCGGCAGGCCUAACACAUGCAAGUCGAACGCUCGUAGCAAUACGAGAGUGGCAGACGGGUGAGUAACACGUGGGAACCUUCCCUAUGGUUCGGAAUAGCUCAGGGAAACUUGGGGUAAUACCGGAUAAGCCCUUCGGGGGAAAGAUUUAUCGCCAUUGGAUGGGCCCGCGUCGGAUUAGCUAGUUGGUGAGGUAACGGCUCACCAAGGCGACGAUCCGUAGCUGGUCUGAGAGGAUGAUCAGCCACACUGGGACUGAGACACGGCCCAGACUCCUACGGGAGGCAGCAGUGGGGAAUAUUGGACAAUGGGCGCAAGCCUGAUCCAGCCAUGCCGCGUGAGUGACGAAGGUCUUCGGAUUGUAAAGCUCUUUUGGCGGGGACGAUAAUGACGGUACCCGCAGAAUAAGCCCCGGCUAACUUCGUGCCAGCCGCCGCGGUAAUAC
rnacentral:rRNA from 1 species